rnacentral:rRNA from 1 species
AGUGAACGCUGGCGGUAGGCCUAACACAUGCAAGUCGAACGGCAGCACAGUAAGAGCUUGCUCUUACGGGUGGCGAGUGGCGGACGGGUGAGGAAUACAUCGGAAUCUACUUUUUCGUGGGGGAUAACGUAGGGAAACUUACGCUAAUACCGCAUACGACCUACGGGUGAAAGCAGGGGAUCUUCGGACCUUGCGUGAUUGAAUGAGCCGAUGUCGGAUUAGCUAGUUGGCGGGGUAAAGGCCCACCAAGGCGACGCUCCGUAGCUGGUCCGAGAGGAUGAUCAGCCACACUGGAACUGAGACACGGUCCAGACUCCUACGGGAGGCAGCAGUGGGGAAUAUUGGACAAUGGGCGCAAGCCUGAUCCAGCCAUACCGCGUGGGUGAAGAAGGCCUUCGGGUUGUAAAGCCCUUUUGUUGGGAAAGAAAAGCAGCAGGUUAAUACCCCGCUGCUCUGACGGUACCCAAAGAAUAAGCACCGGCUAACUUCGUG